CGGCAGCAAAUAAAUUAAAUAAUUUCAAAAUCAUUGAAGGCUCUGAAAUAUAUGUUCUAGCCUAUGCUCUAUAGCUUUCAUUUCACUUCAUUUACAAACUGAAAAUUGUCGAGCUCCGGUGAAAACAAACAUUUUUCCAACAAACAAAUUAAAAUUAAAAACUCAACCAUGAGUACCAGGUAAGAGCUCUCCCUAUAACCCUCUCCAGCAAUUUGUUAACCCUUCUAAACCACAGCACAAAUCAGCUUGGACUGCGGAUCUGUCAGCUUAUUCAGAGCCAAAGCCAGCCAAUUAACUAUGAACGACUUAUAUCUCUAAUCGAAGAAGGACAAAACGAGCCGUUGAAUACACAGGAAAUAACCAAAAUAAAUGCCGCAUUGCGAGCUGGCCUGCGCCGUGGCUUUUUUCAACGCGUUCGUGGAAAGUUUUCUGUGUCUCCCUGCCUUCAAUAAGUUUCAAGUAGAAAGAAGCACAAGAAGAUGAAGCUCAAACAGAAUCAAAAUUAAAGCAGAAUAAGCUGAAUAUAUUUGUUGAGAUUUGUAGUCAAAAAAUAUAAUUGUAAAUGUAUCUACCCCAAGUUCGAGACUUCUCCAAUCGCCUCACUGCAUCACCUUUAACUUCCACUUAAAUCACACGUUGAG
rnacentral:lncRNA from 1 species